rnacentral:rRNA from 1 species
UACGUAGGGUGCGAGCGUUGUCCGGAAUUAUUGGGCGUAAAGGGCUCGUAGGCGGUUUGUCGCGUCGGGAGUGAAAACACCGGGCUUAACUCGGUGCUUGCUUUCGAUACGGGCAGACUGGAGGUAUGCAGGGGAGAACGGAAUUCCUGGUGUAGCGGUGAAAUGCGCAGAUAUCUGGAGGAACACCGGUGGCGAAGGCGGCAUCCUGGACCAACACUGACGCUGAGGAGCGAAAGCCAGGGGAGCAAACGGG